rnacentral:rRNA from 1 species
AUGGAGUACUAUCAUAUUGCCAACAAGAUGUUUAAUAGUGAGGAUGAAGGUUAUACAUUCUAUAACAAAUAUGGUCUUGAGAAAGGUUUUAGUGUCCGGAGAAGCUAUGUCGAGUGGGAUGGAUCCAACUGCCAUAUAAUUUUAAGGGAAUUUGUGUGUAGUCGUGAAGGGGUUCGUGAAGAGAAGCACAUGAAGAGGAAGAUGGAAGAUAGAAAGAGGAGGCCACGGAGUAUAACUCGUGUAGGGUGUAAAGCUAAAUUGGUGAUUGCAAGACAGGAGGAAACAUGUCAGUGGUUUCUCAAGGAUUUCAUCGAUGAACACAACCAUCCUCUAGCCCCACGGGAUCUGUCGUGUCUUUUGCGUUCACACAGAAGAAUUAGCGAUGAGCAGAAAGCGGACAUUGCAGAGAUGGAAAAAUCUGGGAUCAGAAAACACCAUAUUAUGGAUAUUAUGUGCAUGCAAUACGGUGGAUAUGAUGAGGUUGGAUGCAUUAUGAGGGACAUUUACAAUUUCUGCCAUGCUAACAAGCAGGAAACAAUUUCUUGCGGGGAUGCUCAAACGGUGAUCAAUCACAUGGUGGCGAGGCAAGAGCAAGAUUCAGAUUUUUUCUUCAGGUACUUGGUUGAUGAAGCUGGCCAUCUGAAGGGACUGUUCUGGUGUGAUAGUCAAUCCCGACUUGACUACGAGGCUUUCGGAGAUGUUAUUGUUUUUGAUAGCACAUACAGAACCAAUAAGUACAAUCUGCCAUUUGUGCCGUUUGUCGGGUUAAAUCACCACCGCAUCACCGUUAUUUUUGCAUGUGGUAUCAUUUCACAUGAAACAAGCCAGGCAUAUGAGUGGAUGUUACAGACCUUUUCUGAUGCUAUGCAGAAGCAUCCUAUAUCUGUGAUCACGGAUGGGGACCUUGCAAUGCAAAGAGCAAUCAGGGUGGUGUGGCCUGACUCAAACCAUGGGCUCUGUAUAUGGCACAUUCAGCAGAACAUUGUACGCCAUCUGCAUGAUGACGCAGUAAAGGAGGUAUUCCGAUCUUUCAUAUAUGAUACAUCUUCCAUUGAAGACCAUGAGAGAAAAUGGUUACACUUCUUACAACGGAAUAAAGUAACAAGUGAGGACUCCUGGCUGCAUCAGAUGUAUAAGAUGAGAAAACUGUGGUGUGCUCCAUAUCUUGAGGGCCGUUGUUUUCUAGGAUUGAGCAGCAAUCAGCGGAGUGAGAGUUUAAACUCAGUGCUACAUACGCAUCUUGAGGCUAAGAUGACGUUGUUUCAAAUGCUAGAGCACUAUGAGCAUUGCCUUGCGUCACGACGCUUGAACGAGGCUCUCCAAGACGUCGAGGCCUUACAGUCCGUUCCGUUCACAGAGGAAAAUGCUUCAGUUCUUGAGAAACACGCCGCGAAAGUUUUCACUCCUGCUGUGUUCAAGUUGGUCUUAUGGAGCAUAGAUGCUGUCAAAAAAUGUGAGAUCAGAGAGGUACUUGAUGCAGCAGAGGUUACCACAUACGUUGUGUCUAAGAAGGAAAGAAUGGAUAAAAAGAUCGAAGUGCGCACGGAGUCGAAGGAAGGUAUGCUUCGCAGUAUCAGUUGUUCUUGCCGCAAAUUGGAAUGCGCAGGCACACCAUGUUCCCACAUAUUUUACAUAUUGGGAAUUUUACAAGAAGAAACACUGCCCAGGUGUUGUGUUCCCACUAGGUGGACAAUGAGUGCAAAAUGUGCAUUCGCACCGACCAGAAAGAGCGAGAUGUAUGCAUACUCUGCAGCCCUACAAAGGUACCGUAAGCUAAGGAAUUUUAGUCACGUAGCAUAUUUCAAGGCAUGCCACUCUGAUGAGGCGUUUCAGCAUCUAAAAAGGGUUUUGGAAGGACAAGCUGAUAGCAAGGGAUCAACUAAUGCUCAGGGUAACAACAUUAGGUUUGGCCCGUUGAUGCCACAAUCGGCUAACCUUGAUGGUGAAGGUUUCGAAAAGGUUCUUGAUCUCGUGCAUGUGCCAGGCCGAGGUGCUCCGAAGAAAAGGCUACAUGCAUAG